rnacentral:rRNA from 1 species
AUUGAACGCUGGCGGCAUGCCUUACACAUGCAAGUCGAACGGUAACAGGUUAAGCUGACGAGUGGCGAACGGGUGAGUAAUAUAUCGGAACGUGCCCAGUCGUGGGGGAUAACUGCUCGAAAGAGCAGCUAAUACCGCAUACGACCUGAGGGUGAAAGCGGGGGAUCGCAAGACCUCGCGCGAUUGGAGCGGCCGAUAUCAGAUUAGCUAGUUGGCGGGGUAAAAGCCCACCAAGGCAACGAUCUGUAGCUGGUCUGAGAGGACGACCAGCCACACUGGGACUGAGACACGGCCCAGACUCAUAUGGGAGGCAGCAGUGGGGAAUUUUGCACAAUGGACGCAAGUCUGAUCCAGCCAUGCCGCGUGCGGGAAGAGGGCCUUCGGGUUGUAAACCGCUUUUGUCAGGGAAGAAAAGGUUCUGGUUAAUACCUGGGACUCAUGACGGUACCUGAAGAAUAAGCACCGGCUAACUACGUGCCAGCCGCCGCCGUAAUAC